rnacentral:rRNA from 1 species
AAAGCGAGCGGCGGAUGGGUGAGUAACACGUGGGGAACCUGCCCCUAAGUCUGGGAUACCAUUUGGAAACAGGUGCUAAUACCGGAUAAUAAAGCAGAUCGCAUGAUCAGCUUUUGAAAGGCGGCGUAAGCUGUCGCUAAGGGAUGGCCCCGCGGUGCAUUAGCUAGUUGGUAAGGUAACGGCUUACCAAGGUGACGAUGCAUAGCCGAGUUGAGAGACUGAUCGGCCACAUUGGGACUGAGACACGGCCCAAACUCCUACGGGAGGCAGCAGUAGGGAAUCUUCCACAAUGGACGCAAGUCUGAUGGAGCAACGCCGCGUGAGUGAAGAAGGUUUUCGGAUCGUAAAGCUCUGUUGUUGGUGAAGAAGGAUAGAGGUAGUAACUGGCCUUUAUUUGACGGUAAUCAACCAGAAAGUCACGGCUAACUACGUGCCAGCAGCCGCGGUAAUACGUAGGUGGCAAGCGUUGUCCGGAUUUAUUGGGCGUAAAGCGAGCGCAGGCGGAAAAAUAAGUCUAAUGUGAAAGCCCUCGGCUUAACCGAGGAACUGCAUCGGAAACUGUUUUUCUUGAGUGCAGAAGAGGAGAGUGGAACUCCAUGUGUAGCGGUGGAAUGCGUAGAUAUAUGGAAGAACACCAGUGGCGAAGGCGGCUCUCUGGUCUGCAACUGACGCUGAGGCUCGAAAGCAUGGGUAGCGAACAGGAUUAGAUACCCUGGUAGUCCAUGCCGUAAACGAUGAGUGCUAAGUGUUGGGAGGUUUCCGCCUCUCAGUGCUGCAGCUAACGCAUUAAGCACUCCGCCUGGGGAGUACGACCGCAAGGUUGAAACUCAAAGGAAUUGACGGGGGCCCGCACAAGCGGGUGGAGCAUGUGG